AGUGGUAUAGCUGGGUCACAUGGUAGUUCCACUCAGAAUUUUCUAAGGAAUCUCCAUACAGCUUUCCAGAGUGGUUGCACCAAUUUGCAGUCCCACCAGCAAC
rnacentral:pre_miRNA from 1 species